CCUACGGGUGGCUGCAGUGAGGAAUAUUGGUCAAUGGACGAGAGUCUGAACCAGCCAAGUAGCGUGAAGGAUGACUGCCCUAUGGGUUGUAAACUUCUUUUAUAAAGGAAUAAAACGAGGCACGUGUGCCUUUUUGCAUGUACUUUAUGAAUAAGGAUCGGCUAACUCCGUGCCAGCAGCCGCGGUAAUACGGAGGAUCCGAGCGUUAUCCGGAUUUAUUGGGUUUAAAGGGAGCGUAGAUGGGUUGUUAAGUCAGUUGUGAAAAUUUGCGGCUCAACCGUAAAAUUGCAAUUGAUACUGGCGGUCUUGAGUACGGUUGAGGCAGGCGGAAUGCGUGGUGUAGCGGUGAAAUGCUUAGAUAUCACGCAGAACCCCGAUUGCGAAGGCAGCCUGCCAAGCCAUGACUGACGCUGAUGCACGAAAGCGUGGGGAUCAAACAGGAUUAGAUACCCGAGUAGUC
rnacentral:rRNA from 1 species